rnacentral:lncRNA from 1 species
AGUGAGUGUGUCUGGGGGAACGAUCGAACAAGGAAGGAGGAGGGGGAAACCCUAAACUCAAGAAAUCAAGCAAUUGAAGCCUAAAAUCAUAAGAAAAUCCAGUGCAUGAGCCAUCUUAUCGAUCAUCUAAGCAUACCUAGUGAAGUGGUAAGUCGAAUUUCUAGAUUUGGUGAAUUGUAGAAAAAGGGUUUCAACCCAAUCAUAAAUUCGUGGUAUGAUUUGCGUUGAUUAGAUGUUAGGGUUACUCCCUAGAGUGGAAAUCAUGUUUGAUUUUAGUUAAAUUGAAAGAAAAAUUUAUAAACCUACAUGUAGUAGUAGAGAUGAUGAUAUGGAUGAUUAUACAUGUUCAAUGCUUGUGUGAUGUUGAUACUUGAUGUUGAUUGUAAGAAGUAAUUGUUAGAUAAUGGUAUAAAAGUUAUAUAAUUCUAGUUGGAAUUGAUAAUCUAUGUUAUGAAUUAGGAAGAUGAACAUGAGAAUAUUUGUACAUUAUGCUUUAAAUGCGAAACCCGCCAAGUGUUUGAUAAAAUGCCUACAAAGUUUGUGUAAAAUAGUUACUUUUGACAGCCUUAGAUAGUCAUCUUGUAAAGGCCGUAUCUCAUUCGUUAUUAGGAGUUAGACAACGAGCCUUAUAUCGUUGAAAAGGUUGUUUCGCAUAUUACAUUUCAUAUUUGGUCAUAAGAGGCUGGUUAUGAGAUUUAGUGGGUCAAAACAGCAUGAAAAGUUAGUAAAUUCGUUUUGACAGCAAGCUGUUUGGAAGCAUUUCAGCUUCUGUGCUGAUUUUGUAAAAAUCAUAUAAAAUCAUAGGAAUGUCCGAUUGUUACGAUCUUUAUAUGCUUAGAAAGAUCUCUGAGUGUAGAUCAUUUCAUAUUUGAACAUGAAGAACUGAAUCAGAAGAUAAAUGGGUUAAAAUGUGUCGUGAACAGCUGCUGCGCAGAAAGUUGCUGCACAUUUUUAGUAUAAAUAUUAAGUAAAAAUAGUUGUAUUGUUAUGCACACUUGUAUGAAUCAUGAACUACUGAUUUUAAUAAAUUAUUAGUAAGUUAUUUGAUUGUUUUAAGUGUCUAAAACACUUACCAACUAGUCUAUGCAUAUGAUUGCACCAACGGGUCGAAACGGGUUGUUAAUAGAAAAUAGUAGAAUGGAUGUGUAAAAACCAAGGUGUUAAGAAAUGGUAUGAAAUGUUUAAUGUAUGAAACAAGUUGCCUAACUUAGAAAAUGUUAUCAUUCUAAGUAUGGAAUUUUGAAAGAAUAAUGAACAUGAUGUAAAUACAUAAUUAUGCAUGCUAGAAGCUCAUGUAUGACUUUUGUGAUGAUGGAAUGAUAAAUUGUACAGAAUUGGAAUGAAAUAAUUGUUAAAAUAGGACUUGUGUAUGUUAUAAUGGACUAGUGAAAGUCAAUGUGACCCAUGUGUUGGAAAUGGAUGUUAUUAUGUAUAAGCAUAUAUGCUAACAAUGUUGUAAACAUGAUAGCUUGAAAGAAUAAGAACCAUGUCAAGAUGGACCAACUCAUGGGAAGCAAACGGGUCAAAGAGGAGGCAAAGAAACUAGCAUAAACAUGACGAGCACAAGGUUAUGAAUGUCGGACUUUCAAAGUGUUGAUGUAAUAAUGAAACGGUUGAAUCUUGAAAGGAUAAUCGGAUUGAAGUAACUUAUGCGGUAAAUCCUCAAUUCAGGCGACUUGGAGAAUCGGAGCGAGCGCGUGUUCAUGUUAUGUCAUACCAAACGCUUCCGCUAGCUUGUUCAAAUGUUUUUAGUCCAAAAUUUGUUGUAUUGGUUCUUAGUAGUAUUUUGUCGAAUGAAUCGUAGAAUUGUAUCUAGUUUGAUUAUGUUUAAAACAGGGGAAUGCUCGUUUUAUGGACGGGUCAUGCCCAAUUUUUGU